GCCCCCGUAGCUCAGUGGAACAGAGCACCGGACUUCUAAUCCGAUGGUCGCAGGUUCGAAUCCUGCCGGGGGUG
rnacentral:tRNA from 1 species